UAGCGAUUACUAGUACGCUUCAGCGCGAGUCUAGGAGGGCCAGAGAGGGGAUUUCAGGGCCCUGCCCAGUUUGGGCCUCAGUUUCUUCCUCUAGAAAUGUCAGGACUGGACUAGAGGAGGCGUGAGCGCUGACCGGUGCUCCAGGGCGGACGUGGACCUGAUUGCUUCUUUGGGUAUUUUCUGGCCCAGUCCUCCCCAACCCCUCUCUUUCAGGCUGCAGGAAUGUAUGCAAAUCGCACAUGAAUCUCUACAAAUGAGCAGACAGCCUCCAAGAUCUGGCGCCUCUGCUUGGCCCUGGAAGAACCAAGCCAGGAAGAUGUAACCAAAGGUAAGAAACUUCAUACGAGAAAUUGAUGUCCCAAAAGAGGAAGUGACUUGUCCAAGGUCACCCACCUUGUCAGUGAUGGACAAGGAUUUGUCUCAUGACUCAAGUCUAAUGCUAUAUACCCUGCUGUCACCAUUCAUGCCUUCAAGUCCUGCUGUGAUCACCUGACUUCCUUGACCAUUUGACAUGUAUCAGUCACUGGGCAAAAGCAUGGAAAGAGCUUAUAAGUGCCUGGAAGGGGUACAAGAAGCCAGACCUGAAUUCUUUCUCCUCCUCCAGUACCGGUCCAUAUUUAGUCCUAAAGCAGAACAAAUAGGCCUCAUGACAGGCAAUUUCAUGGAGAUCUAUGAACAGUUGACUUUCCAAGCAGCCCCAGGGUCAGGCAGGGGACAGAAGUACAGAGCUAGAGGGGAAUGGGCUUUAAUAGCAUCCAUACAGAUUGGUUUAGGAAAUAAGGAAACCUCACGUUUUCAGCUGGGCUCCCUGGAGGUGAUGGAAUGCCCCUCUGUGUAGAAGAACAACCCAAGUGUCUCUUCUUGAUCUGAUACAAAGGUGACCUCUAUUAGAACACAGGAAAAAAUGAAUUGAAAAUCAUCUCAAGGGGACAGCUAGGUGGCUCAGUGCAUUGACAGCCAGGCUUAGAGAUGAGAGGUCCCAGAUUCAAAUCCAUCCUCAGAAGCUUGUAGCUGUGUGACCCUGAACAAGUCACUUAACUACAGCUACCUAGCCCUUGAUUGCUUUUCUACCUUGGAACCAAUAGUUAGUAUUGAUAACAAGAGAGAAGGUGAGGGUUAUUGUUGUUGUUUUUAAUCAUCACAUAUUUGCCAAAAGCACAGAAGGGUAAGGGACAAGGGGGAGGCAGGUGGGAUGGACUCUCUGAGGCAUGACGAAAAGGAACCAGCCCCCUCUAGACCUGGUGACCACUCUAGGGGUUGAGUUCAGAGCCCCUUCACCUUAGGGGCUAGGAUAAUUAUGGAGUGGGAACUUAGUCAAGGCUUUUCAAACGUCUUCUUCACUAUAAUGCAGACAGACUUGGACAAGAAGCCAGACCCAACUUGUUAUCCAGUCUCUGUUCCCUGACUAAGUAUGGAUGUGGGCAAGUCAUAUCCUUCCCCACCCCACCUGACAAACCCCCACUCCUCUCUUAAGGAGUGGUAAGGAUUUGGCAAUUGGGGUUAAUUGAUUUGCCCAGGGUCACACUGCUGAGAAGUGUCCGAGUUCAUAUUUGGACUCAAGACCUGCCCUCUCUGGACCUGGCUCUCUAGCUCUCUAGAAGUCAUGUCCUUCUAUUAAAGCUGUUUCCUCUUUUGUACAAUAAAAUAGAUUAAAUAAAUGAUCUUGUCCAG